rnacentral:rRNA from 1 species
UACGGGGGGGGCAAGCGUUGUUCGGAAUUACUGGGCGUAAAGGGCCUGUAGGUGGCUUGCUAAGUCAGACGUGAAAUCCCUCAGCUUAACUGGGGAACUGCGUCUGAGACUGGCGAGCUUGAGUGCAGGAGAGGAACGCGGAAUUCCAGGUGUAGCGGUGAAAUGCGUAGAUAUCUGGAGGAACACCGGUGGCGAAGGCGGCGUUCUGGACUGCAACUGACACUGAGAGACGAAAGCCAGGGGAGCAAACGGG